AGCCAUUAUCAUUCUCAGUUAGACUCGUAUAGGCAUAAUUUCUUAAUUGUAAAUAUGAUAUCAAUACAUUAAUAGUUUAUAAUAAAUUAAAGUUGUCAGUGCUGGUACAGUUGGUCAUUGCACAAGUGAUUUCUAGUUUGAAUUUUGAAAUAUCUAUCUGGAAUCAUGAGAAUAGAGCUGUUGGCGAUCACUCUACUGGUGUUUGUAUCUGGGAUAUUGGGCUGGAGGAAUCCCACCGACAUCAAAGCCAAGUCCAACAUACAAAGGAGUUAAUAGGGGUGCAAUAGGUGCAACCUCUAGACGAAGCAGAGACGUGAAUCGUGGGCAACCUGACAAAGGGCACCAAAGAGAUGAAGAGCUAAAGGAAUCAGGCAGUGAUCUCCACGGUGUGGGCUCACAAUCCAGACGGAGGGGACGUGAUGUUAGUGGGAUGGCAGCAGUCGACCAAAUACCAAUGUGGCAAGACAAUCGAUUCCCUGAACGAGACCUUUCUCCCACAGAUGGCUACAUCAGGGCAAGAAGAGACGUGACAACACCAAGAGAGCUGGCCUGAAAAAGUAUCAACGAAAUUUCAACCUAAAAGGACCAAUCGAAGGAUAAGCUCCAUUCGACAGCAAGGUCUUUGGGACCUUUGCGAGCAAGACGUGCGUGAUUAGUUAACAACUGGUUGGAAUACAUAUUAAAGUAAGAU